UACGUAGGGGGCAAGCGUUGUCCGGAUUUAUUGGGCGUAAAGAGCGUGUAGGCGGCCAGGUAGGUGGGUUGUGAAAACUGGAGGCUCAACCUUCAGACGUCGACCCAAACCCCCUGGCUAGAGUCCGGAAGAGGAGAGUGGAAUUCCUGGUGUAGCGGUGAAGUGCGCAGAUAUCAGGAAGAACACCCGUGGCGAAGGCGGCUCUCUGGGACGGUACUGACGCUGAGACGCGAAAGCGUGGGGAGCGAACAGG
rnacentral:rRNA from 1 species